AUCAGUCCUGGCUCCAGAAGGAAGAACUGAGUUUUAUGUGCUCACACGAAUGUUCUAGGCAAAAACUAUGUGACCAUUGGGACAAUAGCCUGGUUAUUUGGCCAAUACAAUAUAAAUAGCUAAUCCGGAACCAUGUUAUCUUUUCUUAGGGUUUUCUGAGCAGCAUAGUAUAGUGAUUCAGAACACUUACUCUGGAACCAGAUGGCCAGAGUCAAAUUCCAGCUCCACCACAAACCAGCAAGAUGGCCUUGGGUGAGGUAUGUAACCCUGUGGCUUCCUCAUCUGUAAAAAUGGGUAAUAGUAGAACCUACCUCAUAGAGGUUAGUGCAAUGAUAUCUGGGACAUGUUUAGGAUGGUGCCAAGCACUUGAGGCUGUUCUGUAGACAGAUUCAAAACUCAAAUACUUUUUCAUAAUCUGGUGCAGUACUUUGUUGAAAAUCUGGGCUCUUGUUGACCUUUUGGCUGUCAUUGUCUCCAUCAAAGGAUAAUAUAAAUAUGUUAAACCCACAGUCUCAUUUUAAUACUAAAUAAAGAUGUCUGGUAAUGAAUCAUACCAAAAGCAAAUGAGUAAAGUGAGAUUUGCAUUAAUAUUACAAUUAUCCAUGCUUUUCCUAAACCUUUAUUUUCAUAUACUUCUUAAAGGUUUCCACAAAGGAAAAAACUAAAUUCACUUCAGUAGAGUCAGCUCUUUAUAACCAGAUUGUCCACAGAUAAGCCUCCAGACCCCUUUGUGAGAAAGUCCAUGGCACCUGCACAGUCAGGAGUGGGAGAGGCGGAGGGCAACCAGUGGGAGGAGAUUUCACCUUGUAAGAGUGAAAUGAGCCUGCUUCUAAGGUUGUAGGGCAGCAGAAAGCCUGUUGUGAGUCUGUCCCAUAGCUUUCACACAGUUUCUUUGAGUUUUAGGUAAUUAUAUGCAAUACACAUAGCUUGCUUAAACUGGCUACAGAUUAAUUAGUGUCUCAAUAAAAUAAGGCGUUUCUCCAAACUCUUACUGGGAAUUAUACCAAUAAUAAUAAUAGCAACCAAGAGUUUACAUAGCUAUUGUGUGGCAUGAACUAUUCUUAGCCCUUCAAAUAUAUUGCCUCAUUUAAUCCUCACAGCAACACUAUGAGAAAGGUACUCUUAAUAUCCUCACUUUACAGAAGAGGAAAUGUGAUCAGAGAGAUGAUCAAGGUCAUUGAGCUAAUCAGUGACAGGUUGGAUCUAAAUCAGUCUUCUUCCAGAGCUCCUGCUCUUAACCAUUAACUAUUAGCUCUGAGGGGUUUUUUUCUUUUAAUUUUUUUCAUUUUUAGUGAUAUUUUAACAAUAUAAAAAUAUUGUUAUUUUAACAAUAUUUUUUAACAAUAUGAUAUUUUAACAAUUAUAAAGUAAUCCAUUUAUGCUAAGGGAAAUUGAUUCUAGGAAAUCCGUGGAUAAUCAAGUCCCUUUUAUAAAAUGAUAUACUUGCAGGUAUAAUACACACAUCCUCCCAUAUACUUUAAACCAUAGGUUUAAAAUCUAGGUUACUUAAUAAUACCUAAUAGAAUAUACAUUUUAUGUAAAUAGUUAUUAGGGAAUAAUGACAAAGAAAAGUCUAUAGUUUAAUAGGCCUAAGUUUUUGAUGGUUGAAUCUGCACAUACAGAGCUAUGUAAGUUGAUAGAAAAUGCUAGUAAACAGAUUGAAUCAGCCUGUAAUACUUUUUAAGUUAGGCUUGCAACUUUAGUCCUAUAGUAAGCAUUUUGUAUGAAGAAAUAAUUGGCUAUGAAUAAGUUCCAGUGGAAUUAUUUGGCCUAAAAGGUGUCCUGGUUUUACUUUAUUCUACUUUUCUAGUGAACUUUUGAUUUCUGAAGUCAACAGAUUUGCCAAACUCCUACAUUGUCAGAAACCAAGGACUGUCUUCCAUUGACCUAACAGAUACAGAACUUUGCAAAGAUUUUUUUUCUUAUUAAAUUCCAUAGAGUUGGGAGUUCACUAGAUCUUUUAGUAAGAGCAUGUUUUGGUAAUGUCAGUAGGAUCAUGAAUGUAUAAGGCUUCUAAAUUAGACAUGGCAAUUUUAGCCAACAACAGGUACUGGUCAAGGUUACAAAAUAAUUUUUAUGUUGAAUAUGUCUGAUACCCUCCUAAGAUGAGAGGCUAUUUCAUAAACAGGUAUUUUCUAGGUGUAAAACAAAUAACAACUAAUUCAACAUCCUAAUCAUAUGCAUUGUUUUGCUGCAGCAUGAUUUCUAACUUUUCCUUAGGCUGAACACUAUGUAUAAUAGAUACCCAAGCCCAGAUAAUAGCUCUAGGGUGAAACACCAAUUCUUGAAUUAUGCCAGUCUUUGCCUGCUUAGUCAAGAGAAAUGUCCCUCUGACAUUUAUAGGACCUGAGCCUCAGACUCUGGGUCUGGGUGCUUAUCAGCAAGAGAGGAACUUCAGGCUACCUUGUCACAUUGGGUAGUGAUGAAUAAGCCCAAGGAUUCCUGGAAGUCCUAAAGUUUGGCUGAAGCUGCCACUGCUACUGCCCUUCCUAGAAUGAUCAUAGUAGAGUCACAAGUACCCAUUUUAAAGAUGAGCUUCAUCAACAGGUAGAGUUUUGGGUUGGUUUCACUACUCUGGGCUCUGAUAUCCAGUUGCUCCCAAAGCCAUGACCUUCCUAAGCCUCCUGACUCCUGGCUCGUUCCACAUGACUGGGCCUUUUCUUAGGUGUUUCUGCGUAAUUCUCUAGUUUCCUGAGAUUUUACAGGUCCCACAUCAGGCCUCCUCUGCCAUCCUCCUAGCUGAGGACACUUCUAGCUGAAUGCUGCCUCAAGCUGGUGGCACAGGGAAGACCAAGGCACAUGGUGUGCAGAGGAGGCCCAAUAGUGAAUUAAAGCACACAGGUAAUGAGUAGCUGUUGGACUCUGAAUAAUCUAAUCCUGGAAAAGUUGGACACUGUAACACAUGCCUGUAAUUCCAGCAAUUUGGAAGGCUAAGGCAGGAGGAUCUCGUUCCAGGCCAGCCUCAGCAACUUAGCCAGAGCCUGUCUCAAAAAAAUUAAAAGGGCUAGGGAUGUAGCUCAGUGGUAAAAUGCCCCUGGAUUCAAUUCCCAGUACAAAAAAGAGAGAGAAAAGAAAAGGCUGGCAAGAGUAUGGUGAGUAUGUAUAUGUAUCCUGGAUGAUACAGGAAAAUAAUGGAGAGGAACCAGGCCAAGAAAAAAGCCGAGGUUUACUCUGCCCACUGACCUGCUGCACACUCUGACAUAUAAAUGCUUCUUUGUUCCCUGGAGAGACUCAACCUAAUAAAGUCCUGAUUGGCCCUCAGAACCCCUUUAGAUGUCACUGCCUCCCACACUCAUGCUCACCCACAAAGGUUCUCCAACUCCUCCAUGCUGCACACAGUCUUUCUUGCAUAGAAGAACCCUGUGCCAUAGCUGUUUGCAGAGGCAGGGGAAGAUAGUGAAAAAGAAGAUGGGCUUUGGAGUCAAGAUUUCAUAUCCCUUUCAUGCCAUUUAGUAACUCUAGUGACCUUGGCCAAGUGACUCAAGCUGUCCCUAGCUUCAGUUUCGUCAUCUUUAAAUGGAAAUUUAAUUUAAAAACAAAAAUCUUUGCAAAGAUAAUGUCAUGCAUACGUUACUCUUUAUUCUGAGGCACAUAGGAAGACCACAUUUACCAGACUCCCCUGCAGCUGAGUUGAUACCAGAACUGGCCCUUGAAUAUAUUCCAUAUGAUCUAUGCACAGCAAGAAACGAAAUUUUACUGUUUAACCACUGAGUAUUUGUUACUGCAACAGAGCACAGAGCUAUCCUUACACAAAUAGAACUCCCUGUUAGAUGUAAAAGAGCAUGAAAAGGAAGAGAAAGUUCAAAGAAGAAAAGAAAUUGGAUCCAUAUUUUAAAUCAUUAAAAUGCUGGGGACACUUGUCAACACAGACCAGCAGACCACACCUGUCUUUCACAAUCUCCCCAUGCCCGACCAAGAACUCUCACUGACAGAGCAAGAGUCAUCGGGAUGAAGAAUGACAAAGCUACCACUGACUCAUCCCACCUAUGCAGCAGGAACAAAGGCAAUAACGGAGUGGCUAAAGAAGAAACCAGUGACCACCAGAUUUUUAAGAUAAUAACAGAAGAGCCCCUCUCAGCCUCCAUAUCUGCCAUGAGGCUGGCACGGCCUGGGGAGCUACUGAUCCAAGAACAAGGAGACACAUGGAAAAACCCUGAAUUCAACCCACAGCCUGAAGCAUAGUGGCCCCAGCCAACUCACAGACAUGUAAGCAAGGAAAAAAAAAAGACUUUCAUUCCCACCAGAAAUGAAGGAAGCUCAAGUUAACGAAGUCAAGCAUCACUGUAAAGCUCCUGUGCACAAGACGCUGAGCUGGGCAGGACAACACUAAGGUGAACUGUACCCUGGGAAGGUAAACUCUGACCACAAAAAGAAACACUUAAGGGAAAGGUGCAGUUAAGGGACCAGAUGGGCUCAAAGCAGAGAAAAAUCUUUCACUUGGAAGAAGGGUCUACUACAAAAGGAAGCAGAAUCUUACUCUGGGUCACAGAGCCCAGGUGUGCUUCAACAUUCAACAAUAGGGAGGAAAGAGAGGGUACAGUGUGAGCAGAGGCAAGGUAUAAGGGCGUUCAAGGGGCAAAGACAGUCUGGUGAGGCUGAAGCACUAUCUAGGUGAGCUGGAGGUGAAUGCUGAGCCUCAGAGAUAUACAGAGGACUGUGGGGGAGGGGAGGAUGCCUUUGCCACAGGCCAGUAAUAGACGGCCAGCCCCAAGGAGAACUGAAAGGAGGGAAUGAACACUAGACUAGCCCUGAACUUGUGGGGAAGGAGAUAGAAGAAAGGGAUUGGAGAAAGAAGAGCCAGAGGUCAAAGGCCAUGGGAUUUUAACCUGCAAGAAAAGAAGGAUAGUUGGAACUUAUUAUUGAAAACACUGUAGGACUUAACAAUGUGAUCAAUAAUGCACAGUGGUAUAUAAUUCAGUCUGUAUUCAGUAAGUGCCAUUUCCAUUUUCCCUGUAGCUGAGACCCAAAACUCAGGGUCGUCCUCAAAUCCUCUUCACUUCUAUGCAAUCCUUCUGCAGCAGGCAGCUCUCCCUCUGAAUUUCCACCACACCCAUUCACUUCCUUUCCCAACUUUGCUCAUUGUUCCCCUGCCUGCAAGGAUUUAUCCCCACAUCUUGCUGUAGCUAAAGUGUCACCUUCUCCAAGAAGCCUUCCCUAACCACCAGCCCCCUGUUAACCAUCCUAGUUUAUUGUCAUGAUAGCAUGUUACUGUUUAUGUAUUUGUUGAUGUCUCUUUCAAUACAUGCUACCCAACUUUUUCUUGCCUAUUCAUAGCUAUGUCCCCAGCACAAAGCACACAGGUAUUCACUGCACUGGAACUGUCCAUAGGCUAUUUCAGAAGCACAGGGUCCCUGUGUACUAUAUGGAUAGGCACAUAACCCAGAGCUGCUUCUUCCAGAAGAUGCCUUGGGUCAGAUCAAGGGCAGACACCACCAGUGCUCAAUGAGUGAGUGCUCCAUUCUGGUGCUAUCUGGAUAAGGUGACCACAGAAGGCAGAAAGAAGUCACUACCCUAAUGUGCAGACAUUUGUCUGCUACUUGGAAGUCAGGAGGGGGUUCGAAGGGUACAGACUGAUGCAAUUUCCUUAGCACCAACUGCUGUGAGAAACAGAGCAGGUUACUUCCUCCUCCCCCCCUCCCCACAGCAACCAAAAUCAUCAGGCUGGCUUCUUUCCAUUGCCCUCCCAGGCCUUCAGCUGCCCAUGGGGGAAGGUGUUGGUUAGUCAGUAAUCCCUUCAGAGAAGUGGGAGGCAGAGCUUUGAUCCAAAGCUUGUGCUGCCUCCUUCAGUCCCACCCAUAUCCUUAGCAUUGAUGUGCCCUGCCUCUACUCCCCGCCCUCAUCUUAUCUUCCAUUCAUAAUGCCCCUUCACAGUUCUCACUGGAUCUCAACAGGAUGCAAAUUUAGUCCAUUUGACAGACCAGAGUACUGAGGCCAGGCUACCCCAUUAGUGGCAAGGCCAGUCCUAGAACUAGGGCUAUUUCUGCUAGUCAUUUACAACAGCUUCUAAAAUUAAGAAAUGGUAAGUAUGUGAAAGUCCUUACAUGGAAACAUUUUUGUGAAAUGGGAACGUAAUAAGACACACGCAAGAUACCAUGGCCAAGCUCGUAGUUUCCGUGUUUGUUCUGCUGACCACUGGCCCUGAGCUCCUUAAGGGCAGGAGAAUUGCCCAACUGACCUCUAUAACCCCGGCACGUUGUGACACAGAGCGGGCGCCCAGCACUUGGUCCCUAAUUGCACAGGUCUGGGCAAAGGCCCCGCCAUUGCGAUCCUCGGGGGUUUCUCCCGCUCUACCCCGGAGGGCAGAACCCCUGGGGCGGGCGCAACUCUGCCCAGCAGCCUGCGGUCCAAGACCCAUUCGAAAAGUUGCCGAGUCUCCCGCGUAAGGACCUGACUCUCGCCGCCCCCCGACGCGCCCCCAGCCGCGUCCGCUCACUUACUCCUGGUGGGCCGCCAGGUGGUUGAAGAUGUAGGUGACCGGGAUGGCUGAGAGGGACAGCACGAACACCCCGGUGGCCGCAGAGGCACUCAUCGCCGCCGCCGAGCCGCUCGCCCUUCACCGCAUCCCUCCAGGCGCCCCGCCCCGGCUUCCGGCGGCGCCCGCGCCCCUCGGCGUCGGCCCUUGCAGACGCCCGCCCCGCGCCAGGCACCGCGCCCUGCCGCACCGCACCCUCAGCGGUCCCCUCCGCGGACCUGCAGUGUACCAGGCGCCCAGAAGCUCCGGCCGGGAUGUGCUGGGCUGCGGCGCAGUCUGGGGAGGCGUCUUCGCUAUGCUCCUGCCAGGGCUCAGCGGCUAGUGGGACCGCGUUGAGGGCAGCGACACCCGCCGCCGGGGACAGGUGACCCUGGUGGGGCCACUGACUCUGCGAGAAGGCAGCGGACCGGGCUAGGGGCGCUUUCCCCAGCCCUGGGCACAGCGGGAGCUGGUCAUCUACGAGUUGGAGAGACGCUGGACUGAGCUGGGGGCCAGCGGUGGGUGGAGCCAGGCCCCAGGGUGUCAGAGAGGGCAGGGCUCGCAAGAUAGUCCACGGGGAAGCCCACGGCCCAGAGACCAGGAGGUGCAAAUACUCUGGAAUCGUGGAACUACUCUGCCCAACAGCUUUCAGCCGGCCACAAGCACAGCUCCUGUGCAGAGUGGAAUCUCUGCUUUAAAUCCUGGAUGCCCACUCAUCAGCUGUUGACCUUUAUCAAGUUACUUAACCUCUCUGUGUCUUUUUCCUGUCUGUGAAAUGUUGAUAACCUGCUCCAUGGUGUGAUUUUUGGAAUAACGGAGUUAAAUGUGUAAAGUGUUUACCCAGCACUCCUCAGCGUGCUCCCUUCUCCUGCAAUCCCCCUGCCCCCAACCACCACCACUUUUUUUUUCUUUUUUAAUUAAAAUUGACCCUGUAAAAAAUGUCAAGACUUAAGAGACUAGAGCAACAUAUAUCUAGUAAAUGUCCCUGGAAACCAGAUUAGGACCAACUAGCCUUCACUAGGCCCUGCAUGGUAUAAAGACUGGAAGACAAAGUCUCUCCUCAGUUACUGAUUAAGGGGAAUAAUGAAUACUUUUGUUCUGACUGACUGCUUUCUGCAGAUGAUGGUAGGUCAGAAAGCCUCCAGGGGCUAACCCUGGAUUGGCCCAAGGCUGGGGAAGGGUUAAGAACCAAGUUUUAGAGGGAGAACAUCUCAACCAUGGAAGGAUAUAAUGGCAGGUCUUAUGUCCUUAAAAUUGAUAGAGAACUCAAGAAGCCAUUUGGCUCAUUUUAGACAUGAGGAAAAUGAGUCACAAAGACGUUAUGACCUACUCCAGGGCUAUUCAACUUUUCAAAAGCCAGCUCUCCUCUUCCCCUGACUUAGCUCUUUUUAAAGUCUUCUCCAGCCCUGAGCACAUAAUGAUAUAAUCAUGGCCCAAACUGUGACAUAUCCACAUUUUCUUCAAGAGAUAUCCUUACCUGUAACCUGGACAUCACCUUCAGUGAAUGAUGUUUUUAGAUCAUCAUUGUCUAAUGAAAAUAUACACCAUAACUGUGAACCCCAUGUAUACUUUAAAUUCUCUAAUAGCCACAUUAAAAAGAUAAAAAGAAUCA